GUAGUUUGAUCAUGGCUCAGGAUAAACGCUGGCGGCGCACAUAAGACAUGCAAGUCGAACGGAAGUCGUUAUAAAAAGGAUUGAAGAUUUUAUCUGAUUGAGAUUUUAUAACAAUGGCUUUAGUGGCGGACUGGUGAGUAACGGCGUGAGCAACCUGCCUACUAGAGGGGAAUAACAGUGAGAAAUCAUUGCUAAUACCGCAUAUGCCUAUGAACAUCACAUGAUGAAAAUGGG
rnacentral:rRNA from 1 species